UAUUUUAAGAAUGUACCAAUUGUUAUUUGGUCUAACCCUGCUUUUGACGUCAGCAAAACCACUGUGAAUGAGAUGAAAAAUUUAUCCAAGAUGGCGGACGGCUCAUUGUUUUCAGGCAAAAUGUGAAAAGCACGAUACGAAAAAUCGGUACAGGAAUUUUACAUAUAAUUUUAACAGUUCUAUCAAAUGGGACAAACUUCAUUUUUUAUUCCAUAUCCCUUUCUUUUGUAUCGAAGAGAUUAGUUUCACCCAGGUGGUCAAAAAAGAAAUACGUAUACCUUUCGAUACGAACUGUAGGGUACUGCAUGUGUUCAAGUGAAAAACAGCUUUACCUGGUGG